GAUGAAGAACGCAGCGAAAUGCGAUAAGUAAUGUGAAUUGCAGAAUUAGUGAAUCAUCGAAUCUUUGAACGCACAUUGCGCCCCUUGGUAUUCCGGGGGGCAUGCCUGUUCGAGCGUCAUUAUAACCCCUCAAGCUCAGCUUGGUGUUGGGGCCUGCCAACUGGCAGCCCUUAAAAUCAGUGGCGGCGCCAUCUGGCUCUAAGCGUAGUAAUUUCUCUCGCUAUAGGGUCCCGGUGGAUGCUUGCCAACAACCCCCAAUUUUCUAUGGUUGACCUCGGAUCAGGUAGGGAUACCCGCUGAACUUAAGCAUAUCAAUAAGCGGAGGA
rnacentral:misc_RNA from 1 species